rnacentral:rRNA from 1 species
GACGAACGCUGGCGGCGUGCUUAACACAUGCAAGUCGAACGGAAAGGCCCUGCUUUUGUGGGGUGCUCGAGUGGCGAACGGGUGAGUAACACGUGAGUAACCUGCCCUUGACUUUGGGAUAACUUCAGGAAACUGGGGCUAAUACCGGAUAGGAGCUCCUGCUGCAUGGUGGGGGUUGGAAAGUUUCGGCGGUUGGGGAUGGACUCGCGGCUUAUCAGCUUGUUGGUGGGGUAGUGGCUUACCAAGGCUUUGACGGGUAGCCGGCCUGAGAGGGUGACCGGCCACAUUGGGACUGAGAUACGGCCCAGACUCCUACGGGAGGCAGCAGUGGGGAAUAUGGCACAAUGGGCGGAAGCCUGAUGCAGCAACGCCGCGUGCGGGAUGACGGCCUUCGGGUUGUAAACCGCUUUCGCCUGUGACGAAGCGUGAGUGACGGUAAUGGGGAAAGAAGCACCGGCGAACUACGU